UCNUCUGGCUUAACUGGGGGCUUGCGGUGGGUACGGGCCGGCUUGAGUGCGGUAGGGGAGACUGGAACUCCUGGUGUAGCGGUGGAAUGCGCAGAUAUCAGGAAGUACACCGGUGGCGAAGGCGGGUCUCUGGGCCGUUACUGACGCUGAGGAGCGAAAGCGUGGGGAGCGAACAGGAUUAGAUACCCUGGUAGUCCACGCCGUAAACGUUGGGCACUAGGUGUGGGGGGCCUUUUCCGGGUCUUCCGCGCCGUAGCUAACGCAUUAAGUGCCCCGCCUGGGGAGUACGGCCGCAAGGCUAAAACUCAAAGGAAUUGACGGGGGCCCGCACAAGCGGCGGAGCAUGCGGAUUAAUUCGAUGCAACGCGAAGAACCUUACCAAGGCUUGACAUGUGCCGGUCGGCUCCGGAGACGGGGUUUCCUCCUUGUGGGGCCGGUUCACAGGUGGUGCAUGGUUGUCGUCAGCUCGUGUCGUGAGAUGUUGGGUUAAGUCCCGCAACGAGCGCAACCCUUGUCCCGUGUUGCCAGCACGUUGUGGUGGGGACUCGCGGGAGACUGCCGGGGUCAACUCGGAGGAAGGUGGGGAUGACGUCAAAUCAUCAUGCCCCUUAUGUCUUGGGCUUCACGCAUGCUACAAUGGCCGGUACAGAGGGCUGCGAUACCGUGAGGUGGAGCGAAUCCCUUAAAGCCGGUCUCAGUUCGGAUCGGUGUCUGCAACUCGACACCGUGAAGUUGGAGUCGCUAGUAAUCGCAGAUCAGCAACGCUGCGGUGAAUACGUUCUCGGGCCUUGUACAC
rnacentral:rRNA from 1 species